AAAAAUCGCAGCCUGCGGCAGCUCCUACAGGGGAUCGCAUUCCAUUGCAGGAGCUGCCGCAGGCUGCGAUCUUU
rnacentral:antisense_RNA from 1 species